rnacentral:rRNA from 1 species
UACGUAGGGGGCUAGCGUUGCCCGGAUUUAUUGGGCGUAAAGAGCGUGUAGGCGGCCAGGUAGGUCUGCUGUGAAAACUCGAGGCUCAACCUCGAGAUGUCGGCGGAAACCAUCUGGCUAGAGUCCGGAAGAGGAAAGUGGAAUUCCUGGUGUAGCGGUGAAAUGCGCAGAUAUCAGGAAGAACACCCGUGGCGAAGGCGGCUUUCUGGGACGGUACUGACGCUGAGACGCGAAAGCGUGGGGAGCGAACAGG